rnacentral:rRNA from 1 species
UUGUCCUACGGGACGCAGCAGUGGGGAAUAUUGGGCAAUGGGCGCAAGCCUGACCCAGCAACGCCGCGUGAAGGAAGAAGGCUUUCGGGUUGUAAACUUCUUUUGUCAGGGACGAAGCAAGUGACGGUACCUGACGAAUAAGCCGCGGCUAACUACGUGCCAGCAGCCGCGGUAAUACGUAGGUGGCAAGCGUUAUCCGGAUUUAUUGGGUGUAAAGGGCGUGUAGGCGGGGAUGCAAGUCAGAUGUGAAAACUAUGGGCUCAACCCAUAGCCUGCAUUUGAAACUGGAUUUCUUGAGUGCUGGG